UACAGAGGUCCCAAGCGUUGUUCGGAUUCAUUGGGCGUAAAGGGUGCGUAGGCGGCGCGGUAAGUCGGGUGUGAAAUCUCGGGGCUUAACUCCGAAACUGCAUUUGAUACUGCGGUGCUUGAGGACUGGAGAGGAGACUGGAAUUUACGGUGUAGCAGUGAAAUGCGUAGAGAUCGUAAGGAAGACCAGUGGCGAAGGCGGGUCUCUGGACAGUUCCUGACACUGAGGCACGAAAGCCAGGGGAGCAAACGGG
rnacentral:rRNA from 1 species